GCCUGGGAGAAUUUCAGAACGGAGGGCGACAUUCUCCCAGUCAUUACGUGCUGUACCAGGGGGUGGCGCUGUGGCAAUUCUUGUCUACCCCUUGCGCAACUAGUGUCUCCGCCUAUCGCUCUCUGCUUACAAUACGAAAACACACAUACAUGAUUCACUAAACAGACAACUUCUCAAAGUUUUAUGAAGACAUACCAUCUUUCCCAGGUAUUAUUUGGCGCUACACUCUUAGGAACUCUUGGGCUGUCGCGUCCAACGACCCCGUGUCCGAGUAGGAGGUCGCCCCCGUUGUGCUAGUGGACAACAGCGGGCUUUGGAAACCGGCAUAACCGCACUUGGUGUUACAAGAUGGUGCGGAGAAGCCCAAAGAAAGCGUCAAAUCGAAAACCAAGGAUGCAGCGCCCGUGUCCUCUGCGUCCAGGGUGUUCUCCUAUCAGAUGGAGGAGAUGCCAGUGCCCCCUCACCAGGAGACGGCGAGGACCGCCAGAUACAUGGCCCACUACAGCGGCUGAGGAUAUCUCACCACCAUCAAGACAAGAUAAAGGGCCUUCCUUUUGGGAAUAUCUUCUCGACAGGAGUCCUCUAUUUCUACGUCACCCUGAUGGACUGUAGCAGACCUGAGAAGCUUCCCAUUCGCCUCGCUCACUUUCUCAGAGGCAGAGGGAGACUAAUGCAGGCAGCAGAUGUAUGAUCCUGAGGACCCUCGCUGUGCCAGACUGACUCUGACAGGCAAGAUGGUGGAGGUGGAGUUCGCCAAGAAGGCCAUGUUCUCCAGGUGUGUGCGCAGGGCACACUAAUUGUUCGUCCUCCCUGAACAUGUUUUGAGUGUCUGUCCAAUUGUCUCUACAUAUGUGCAAUGUGUGUGAGCCUUUGUACUUAGCAUACCUGUCUGCGUGUUUAUUGAGUAAAAUGCUCUUGCUCGUCGACACCCUGUGAUGAAGAAAUGGCCAGUGGGACACAACUGGUUCUUGAUGAAGCUGCAGCUAACCCAGGUCUGGCUCCAGGAUUGGGUCGGAGGAGUGUCACUCAUCCCCCUGGAAGACUACUUCAAAGCCACACCCUACUGAGAGGAACUUCAUCCACAAUGUAUAUGAAAUCUGCUACACCGUGUCAGAUACAACACACGGUACCAAUACAAGACUGGUGCCUCCCUGUAUGGCACAGCAGCUGUCAUCACAUUCAUCACCACAAACACAACAUAAUGGGAGGCUCUAGAACCUUCAAACUCAACUCUGGACCUAGAUGCCAGUUCCACUGUGUUUUUUCAUUGUUGCCCUCUAAUCAGGGACUGAUUUACACCUGGGAUACCAGGUGGGUGCAAUUAAUUCUCAGAUGGAACAGAAAAGGGUAAGAGUUGAAUAGCCCUGCUCUAGAAGCUUUUGUUCUGGAAUAUUUUGAAGUGAGAUGGGAAAUAUGAAGAGGGUUUAGACCUUCUCUAGGCAGAGUGUGGUCUUACCAUGGCUCAUGCAGAGUAACAACAAAUGUAAGAUGUCAUCCAGUUCAAGGGAAAGCUUCAGAAUGUGAAUAUACAGACGUAGAUAUAGAUGCCUUUAAGCAGACACUGGAGAUUGUUAAAUGUACAGAAUGAUUUACUUGCUUUGCAGAUGUUGUUUAUCCAAUGCUACCACAAAGCUUUUUCACAUAAUCUUCUGUCCAACAGCUAGACAAUGACAAACCAAAAACCUAGCUAAAACAGGCUCAUGUCUGGUGGACAAUAGAUUGACUCUGAUCUUGAGUUGUCAAGUCACAUUUCUAUUUUCUGCAUAGGUCAAAUAAUGGACAUGUUUUCCCAGUCUUUCAAUCGCGGUAUUGAUGCAGUAGCCUAAAGCUGAUAAAGUGUUAUGAUUUUUCAUUUUUAUAAUUGAACCACUGUCAAUGUAGGUAUGCUCCUAAUUAUGCACCGAUCAAAAUGCCUUUUUCUAUAUUAACUGCUUUUCAAAAAGUAUUUUGGUUGCACUUGCAGGCUAUUCUUUGAUUGCUGAAAUCUCGUGUUUCCAGUACGUCCACACUAGUCGCGGCGUUGAGUUUAAUUGGCUACACAUUAUUAAAACAAUUUUAGUCUUUGGUAAAUAAAUACUGGACCGAUUCAGUCCAAACUGCAUACAGUAUUUCUAA